rnacentral:rRNA from 1 species
CGUCGCCACGGUAAUACGUAGGUGGCAAGCGUUGUCCGGAAUUAUUGGGCGUAAAGGGCUCGCAGGCGGUUUCUUAAGUCUGAUGUGAAAGCCCUCGGCUCAACCGGGGAGGGUCAUUGGAAACUGGGAAACUUGAGUGCAGAAGAGGAGAGUGGAAUUCCACGUGUAGCGGUGAAAUGCGUAGAGAUGUGGAGGAACACCAGUGGCGAAGGCGACUCUCUGGUCUGUAACUGACGCUGAGGAGCGAAAGCGUGGGGAGCGAACAGGAUUAGAUACCCGAGUAGUCCCUGUCUCUUAUACA